CUACAUAAUGAGACCCUGUCUCAAAAACUUUAAUAACAACAAAGAACUUGCAAAAGACACAGAGCUCCUAAGAACAGAACCAACAGCGGAAUGCAGCCCUGGCUCCCCAGGCUAACUGUCAGAGGCACUGCUCGGAGGACUUAAUUUGCCAACUGACUAGAAGACUGCCCGACAAGCUCCAGGAGUCGUCUUGUCUUUGACUUCCCAGUGUUAGGAUCACAGGGUGCACACUGCUCCAUCAGGCUUCUUUACCAAUCGAGCUGUCUCCAACCCUCAAGUUACUAAUUUCUAUUUCCAGAUGGACUCCGAAACCAUGCUUUAGUAGGAUGUGGAUGACUUUUAUAAAAUAGACUGUUUGCACAUGACAUCUUAAAGCCCUGCUUGUCACUACAUUGAAUCGUUAACUUCUUAGAGCCUCCUGUGUUUACUACCUAGGGCCUGCUGGUAGCUGAAAACUGCCAGCAUUUCCGUCUGUUUCUCCUGACACCUCCACCACAUCCAGUACUGUCUCCACCCUCACCCCCACUGGCUCUGCAAUGCUAAGGAAGAAAUGCACUGUCUCACACCUCACCUUACACGUGGUAGGACGAUUUUACUUUCACCAUCAAUAUGAAGUCUUUCAAAACUAUAUUUACCACCGUAAUAAAGAUAAUUCUUUGUUUUUCUUGGUAAUGUGUAGUAAUUUAACUGAAGCUUUU